rnacentral:rRNA from 1 species
CGGUGUUCAACUGGCGUGUCCGCGGGACGUCCUGCCGGUGGGCUUAGCCCGCAAGGGCGGCCCAACUUCAAAUCCCAUCGCGGUGCUCUUCACUGAGUGUCGAGGUGGGCCGGCACGUUUACUUUGAACAAAUUAGAGUGCUUAAAGCAGGCUAAAACUUCGCCUGAAUACUGUGUGCAUGGAAUAAUGGAAUAGGACCUCGGUUCUAUUUUGUUGGUUUUCGGAACCCCGAGGUAAUGAUUAAUAGGAACGGAUGGGGGCAUUCGUAUUGCGACGUUAGAGGUGAAAUUCUUGGAUCGUCGCAAGUCGGACAGAAGCGAAAGCAUUUGCCAAAAACGCUUUCAUUGAUCAAGAACGAAAGUUAGAGGUUCGAAGGCGAUCAGAUACCGCCCUAGUUCUAACCAUAAACGAUGCCAGCUAGCGAUCCGUCGACGUUCCUCCGAUGACUCGACGGGCAGCUUCCGGGAAACCAAAGCUUUUGGGUUCCGGGGGAAGUAUGGUUGCAAAGCUGAAACUUAAAGGAAUUGACGGAAGGGCACCACCAGGAGUGGAGCCUGCGGCUUAAUUUGACUCAACACGGGAAACCUCACCAGGCCCGGACACCGGAAGGAUUGACAGAUUGAGAGCUCUUUCUUGAUUCGGUGGGUGGUGGUGCAUGGCCGUUCUUAGUUGGUGGAGCGAUUUGUCUGGUUAAUUCCGAUAACGAACGAGACUCUAGCCUGCUAACUAGGCGUAUUUUCGACAUCUCAAAGGUCCGUCGUCCCGGCCCUCGGGUCGUGGGCGUGCGCGAUUUUUACUGUCGGCGUACUAUCAAUUCUUCUUAGAGGGACAGGUGGCUUCUAGCCGCACGAGAUUGAGCAAUAACAGGUCUGUGAUG